AACGAACGCUGGCGGCGUGGAUAAGACAUGCAAGUCGAACGACUAUUUCAAUGUAGCAAUACAGUGGAGUGGGAGUGGCGCAAGGGUGCGUAACACGUGGGCAAUCUGCCGCGAAGACCGGGACAACCUGCUGAAAGGCGAGCUAAUACCGGAUGUGAAAAUGAGAGGCAUCUUUUAUUUCAAGUGGGACGCAGGCCUGACACUUCGCGAUGAGGCCCGCGGCCUAUCAGCUAGUUGGUGAGGUAA
rnacentral:rRNA from 1 species